GGAAACUGUCUAACUNGAGUGCAGAAGGGGAGAGUGGAAUUCCAUGUGUAGCGGUGAAAUGCGUAGAUAUAUGGAGGAACACCGGUGGCGAAAGCGGCUCUCUGGUCUGUAACUGACGCUGAGGCUCGAAAGCGUGGGGAGCGAACAGGAUUAGAUACCCUGGUAGUNCACGCCGUAAACGAUGAGUGCUAGGUGUUGGAUCCUUUCCGGGAUUCAGUGCCGCAGCUAACGCAUUAAGCACUCCGCCUGGGGAGUACGACCGCAAGGUUGAAACUCAAAGGAAUUGACGGGGGCCCGCACAAGCGGUGGAGCAUGUGGUUUAAUUCGAAGCAACGCGAAGAACCUUACCAGGUCUUGACAUCCCGAUGCUAUUUCUAGAGAUAGAAAGUUACUUCGGUACAUCGGUGACAGGUGGUGCAUGGUUGUCGUCAGCUCGUGUCGUGAGAUGUUGGGUUANNNNNNNCAACGAGCGCAACCCCUAUUGUUAGUUGCCAUCAUUCAGUUGGGCACUCUAGCGAGACUGCCGGUAAUAAACCGGAGGAAGGUGGGGAUGACGUCAAAUCAUCAUGCCCCUUAUGACCUGGGCUACACACGUGCUACAAUGGUUGGUACAACGAGUUGCGAGUCGGUGACGGCAAGCUAAUCUCUUAAAGCCAAUCUCAGUUCGGAUUGUAGGCUGCAACUCGCNUACAUGAAGUCGGAAUCGCUAGUAAUCGCGGAUCAGCACGCCGCGGUGAAUACGUUCCCGGGCCU
rnacentral:rRNA from 1 species